GAUGAACGCUGGCGGCGUGCCUAAUACAUGCAAGUCGAGCGAACCACUUCGGUGGUGAGCGGCGAACGGGUGAGUAACACGUAGGUUAUCUGCCCAUCAGACGGGGGCAACGAUUGGAAACGAUCGCUAAUACCGGAUAGGACGAAAGUUUAAAGGUGCUUCGGCACCACUGAUGGAUGAGCCUGCGGCGCAUUAGCUAGUUGGUAGGGUAAAGGCCUACCAAGGCGACGAUGCGUAGCCGACCUGAGAGGGUGAACGGCCACACUGGGACUGAGACACGGCCCAGACUCCUACGGGAGGCAGCAGUAGGGAAUCUUCGGCAAUGGGCGAAAGCCUGACCGAGCAACGCCGCGUGAAUGAUGAAGGCCUUCGGGUUGUAAAAUUCUGUUAUAAGGGAAGAAUGGCUCUAGUAGGAAAUGGCUAGAGUGUGACGGUACCUUAUGAGAAAGCCACGGCUAACUACGUGCCAGCCGCCGCGGUAAAAC
rnacentral:rRNA from 1 species